rnacentral:rRNA from 1 species
GAUAAACGCUGGCGGCGUGCCUAAUACAUGCAAGUCGAGCGAACGGACGAGAAGCUUGCUUCUCUGAUGUUAGCGGCGGACGGGUGAGUAACACGUGGAUAACCUACCUAUAAGACUGGGAUAACUUCGGGAAACCGGAGCUAAUACCGGAUAAUAUUUUGAACCGCAUGGUUCAAAAGUGAAAGACGGUCUUGCUGUCACUUAUAGAUGGAUCCGCGCUGCAUUAGCUAGUUGGUAAGGUAACGGCUUACCAAGGCAACGAUGCAUAGCCGACCUGAGAGGGUGAUCGGCCACACUGGAACUGAGACACGGUCCAGACUCCUACGGGAGGCAGCAGUAGGGAAUCUUCCGCAAUGGGCGAAAGCCUGACGGAGCAACGCCGCGUGAGUGAUGAAGGUCUUCGGAUCGUAAAACUCUGUUAUUAGGGAAGAACAUAUGUGUAAGUAACUGUGCACAUCUUGACGGUACCUAAUCAGAAAGCCACGGCUAACUAUGUGCCAGCAGCCGCGGUAAUACGUAGGUGGCAAGCGUUAUCCGGAAUUAUUGGGCGUAAAGCGCGCGUAGGCGGUUUUUUAAGUCUGAUGUGAAAGCCCACGGCUCAACCGUGGAGGGUCAUUGGAAACUGGAAAACUUGAGUGCAGAAGAGGAAAGUGGAAUUCCAUGUGUAGCGGUGAAAUGCGCAGAGAUAUGGAGGAACACCAGUGGCGAAGGCGACUUUCUGGUCUGUAACUGACGCUGAUGUGCGAAAGCGUGGGGAUCAAACAGGAUUAGAUACCCUGGUAGUCCACGCCGUAAACGAUGAGUGCUAAGUGUUAGGGGGUUUCCGACCCUUAGUGCUGCAGCUAACGCAUUAAGCACUCCGCCUGGGGAGUACGACCGCAAGGUUGAAACUCAAAGGAAUUGACGGGGACCCGCACAAGCGGUGGAGCAUGUGGUUUAAUUCGAAGCAACGCGAAGAACCUUACCAAAUCUUGACAUCCUUUGACAACUCUAGAGAUAGAGCCUUCCCCUUCGGGGGACAAAGUGACAGGUGGUGCAUGGUUGUCGUCAGCUCGUGUCGUGAGAUGUUGGGUUAAGUCCCGCAACGAGCGCAACCCUUAAGCUUAGUUGCCAUCAUUAAGUUGGGCACUCUAAGUUGACUGCCGGUGACAAACCGGAGGAAGGUGGGGAUGACGUCAAAUCAUCAUGCCCCUUAUGAUUUGGGCUACACACGUGCUACAAUGGACAAUACAAAGGGCAGCGAAACCGCGAGGUCAAGCAAAUCCCAUAAAGUUGUUCUCAGUUCGGAUUGUAGUCUGCAACUCGACUACAUGAAGCUGGAAUCGCUAGUAAUCGUAGAUCAGCAUGCUACGGUGAAUACGUUCCCGGGUCU